rnacentral:rRNA from 1 species
AUGGGGGGCAGGCCGAUGGAGCCUAGGCAGGACGCGCCUCCGGCGCUGUCUUCGCCAGUUGCGCCCGGCUCCCCUCCCAUGAUGUCCGCUGCCAUGCCCCUGGCGCGCGCUGAGGUCUGCAUCGUGUUGCGCUCGGCGGGGAUGGCAGAUCUGGAGCGCAGGCUGCCGCUUGCGGUGGUGGCGUACGUGGGCGGCGCCAGGCCGCCGGUUUCCUGUGUUGACGCGGCGAUUGCCAUCUCCGAGCAGCUUGAGAUUCCUCGACACCGUUUCUCCAUGCACAAGUUCCAUCCUGAAGAUUUUCUGGUUGUCUUCGCGUCCCAUGACCUCCGCAACAGAGCUUUGGGAGUCCCGUUCAUUGAGCAUCCAAGGUUCAAGCUUUUCACCAAGCCAUGGUUGAGACAGGCACAAGCACAGUCCAAGUUGAUGAGAGUUCAGGUUGAUCUCAUGAUUGAAGGAGUUCCAUCGCACGCCUGGUCUAGAGAGACAGCGUCGGAGUUGUUGGGUUCGUCCUGUCUGAUUGAGAGCCUGGCGCCCGAGACUGCUAACAGAGAGGAUCUGUCGCUCUUCAAGCUCCGUGCAUGGUGUGUGGAUCCGGAUGAUAUUCCGGCGUGUCGUCGUCUUUGGGUGCCGGAGCCUGACGAGAUUUUGGUGAACCCGGCGGCGCGCGUUUCUUCGUUCCGUCAACUGCUGGAGUAUCCCACGCUCAUCCAUAUUGGUCGGCUCCGGGAUCAUUCACCGCCGGAGUUGUGGCGUCGAUCGCCGAGUUCAGAUGGCGGCAGUGGGCAGAGUGGGUUGCCGGAGAGUUCCAAUGGAUCCUUCCAGGGUGAAUGGAGGGUGCUGCCCUGGACGAGGGGUGUCCGUGAUGGUCGCGACGCUGGCCGGCGAUCGCCGAGCCACGUCGGCGGUGGAGGGCAGGUCCGCUCCUACCGGCAGGCUCUAGAAGGCAGUGUGUGUCCCUUGGCCUGGCGCAUUCCGCCAAUGGAGACUGGACAGGCGUCAGCAGUGGAGGUCACGGGGUUGGCCCGCCACAGUCCUCAGGGCGUGCGCGCCCCCCGCGUGGUCGCUAUCCAGAGUGCCGUUGUACCGCGGUCUUGCCAGGUGUUGACAGCUGGCGAGUUGGUCACACCUACUCCACCCGACAAGGCUGUGGAUGGGGCCAAUCCCCAGGAGAUGGAGACCAUCCAGAUGCUAGUCACGCCAGUCUUGGCCGACAAAUCUGCAGAGAAGGACAGCGUCCUAGAGAAAGAUCUGGAUGCGAUUGGACAAGCUGAUCCGCCCUUGGUUACGGCGCCUAUGGUGGAACCGAGUGCAGGGACGCUGCAGCGUGGGGGCCUGGAGAGGCCAAUGGCAUCUGAUCCGCAUGCACAGGAUUUGCCGCUGGCAAUGAUUGCGACGGAUCCGGUGAGGCCAGAGGUGCCUUGUGGCCUGCAUUCGGAGGAGACCACUCAGGCUAGGGUGCCACAGAUAAUCGCAGAGAGGUGCGCGGUGAUUGUGGUUCCGCAGGGGAUCCUGGAGGAGAUGGGGCCGGCCGCUGGCCUGUCCUUGGCUGCGGGUUGGGCGCCAGUGGCUGAACUGCUGGCCCCCACCACUGCGGAGCCGACUGCGAAUAUUCCAGCCUCGGAGACGGUCCUGGGUGGGCCAGGGCUGCAUGGCUCGUCUGAUGUGACUACGUCGCAUGCUGAUUACGUGCGCACGUUGCCGGCGUUUGGGACUCCUUCUCCGAUUCCAGCUGUGGAUCCUUCCGUGGAGCUAGCGCGUCUUUCUUCCAAGGAAGCGCUGGCACUGGGCAACAUCAAAACAUUUUGUGCGGGACUUUUGAAGAAAUUGGCGCCACCGCUCCUCAAAGAAAUCGAAAUGGCCAAUGGAGUUAGACCAGGGCAAGACCCCUUCACACCACAGCGCAACACCCGCUCGCUUAGCUCCACUUCCAGGAGCCCCAAAGCUUCGGCCGCUGAGACAGUCUUCUCAAAGCCCUCGGUAUUGUGCCGGAUGAGCUAG